GCCGGGCGCGGUGGCAUGUGUCUGUAGUCCCAGCUACUCAGGAGGCUGAGGCUGGAGGAUUGCUUGAGCCCAGGAGUUCUGGGCUGUAGUGCGCUAUGCCGAUUGGGUGUCUGCACUAAGUUUGGCAUCAAUAUGGUGACCUCCCAGGAGCAGGGGACCACCAGGUUGCCUAAGGAGGGGUGACCAGCCCAGGUCGGAAAUGGAGCAGGUCAAAACUCCGGUGCUGAUCAGUAGUGGGAUCACGCCUGUGAAUAGCCACUGCACUCCAGCCUGGGCAACAGAGCGAGACCCCAUCUCU
rnacentral:SRP_RNA from 1 species